rfam:Gossypium arboreum cultivar AKA8401 contig_41281_3, whole genome shotgun sequence.
AUAUCAUGAUGUGAGCAUCUUUAAACUAACAUCUUAAAUUGUUCCCAAGCUUCAUGAAAACUCUCUCUUUCUAAUUGCUUGAAUGUUGAAAUCUCCCUCCUGAGUUG